UCCACACCAAGAAACCCUCCAAAUGUCCCACCAAUUUCCAUGGCCACCGCCAUCAAGCUGGCAUUCCGCCAUGCUUGUAAUUGUAUUAACUUAUCUCGCUUAUUAUGUGGCCCAAGUUCAAAUUCUCUUAUCACCCAAGCAAACCCAAAAGUUCAAACAACGUUAAGUUCAAUUACGACCAGAAUUAUGUCAUACUUGGGUCCUCUGCAACGGACACAAGCACCACAUAUUUUACCUUAUAAUGUCAAUGAUAUCCAAUUACAGAGUUUAUGCCAGCCACGUAAUCCAGUAAAUCUUGGAGAAACUACACUCAGUCUGUCAUUCCAGGCAGUUAUUGCUUUGGCUCUUUCAUUACAGAGCUCCUCUUCGGCUCAGGAUCAGACUCAGUCUCAAAACAUGGAAAUUAUGAAUGUUGUUCAAGUUAUUAUGGUGAUUGCCUUUGCAGCAUCUUUUAUAGGGAUCUGUUUGCAUGAGGCCUGUCCAAGGCUUUCACGCAUCAUUCAGAAAAUUGGGUCCCUAUUUGCUGUAGUUGGCAUAUUUUUACUAGUGAGUGUGUUCCAAAAAGGCAAAUUAAUUUGGAUCAAUUGGCUAGUUGGUUCAUUGUCCUUUCUAGCCUUUCUCUGGUCCAUCAAGUGAAUCAUUAUGUUAAUGUGAUUGGAGUUUAUCAAAAUAUUUAAUGUCACCAUGUGAAAAAGUUGUCAACUCCGCCUGUGUUGUAUUUAAACAGUCGACACAGCCGGUCCCAAGCCCGGAUAAAGGAGGAGGGUUAUCAUCAUGUCGGAGAUCAAAUUUUGGUCGCGCACUGUUUACACCGCAUUUCUCCAGCAGCCCGAUCCUAGUGUAGCUUGCAGAAGAAGGGAACUCGAACCCUUUUUUUCUAAAAUCAAAUAGAAGAAGAUCUUGGUUCCUGGAUACUGCUGCUGUUGAAGGGCGACCUUGAAUUAAUCUUGCUGAAAAGGGACAAUCUUUAAUGCAGUUACUGUUUCUGUAAUGGAGGGACAAAGACAAACUAUUCUGUAGAUCAGUUAUCCUAAAAGAUUUGAGGAGAGUCUGCUUCAAUUGGUUUGCAUGAGAACUUUGCCGAUUUGGAGAGACAACUUGUUUGCAAUCAGCAUCGAUCAGAGACACCCACAUAUCUGCUUGAUGAGCCAUAUAUGCCUACAAAAUCAAUUGCACUGAUACCAGUAAUUUGUGUGAGAACUAUUAAUAACUGUAUUGAUGAUGUAUAACUAUAAAUUACUAGUUUUUCUAAUAUAGUUAGUGAUGAUCAAGGUGAGAUUAUA